GGGCCCGCACAAGCAGUGGAUUAUGUGGUUUAAUUCGAAGCAACGCGAAGAACCUUACCAGGUCUUGACAUCCAACUAACGAGGCAGAGAUGCGUCAGGUGCCCUUCGGGGAAAGUUGAGACAGGUGGUGCAUGGUUGUCGUCAGCUCGUGUCGUGAGAUGUUGGGUUAAGUCCCGCAACGAGCGCAACCCCUGCCAUUAGUUGCUACGCAAGAGCACUCUAAUGGGACCGCUACCGACAAGGUGGAGGAAGGUGGGGACGACGUCAAAUCAUCAUGCCCCUUAUGACCUGGGCUACACACGUAAUACAAUGGCCAUUAACAGAGUGAAGCAAAGCCGCGAGGUGGAGCCAAACACUAAAAAUGGUCUCAGUUCGGAUUGCAGGCUGCAACUCGCCUGCAUGAAGUCGGAAUUGCUAGUAAUCGCGGAUCAGCACGCCGCGGUGAAUACGUUCCCGGGCCUU
rnacentral:rRNA from 1 species